GUGCAGUAACAGCAAACCUUAUGCUUUUACCACAGUAGUUCAGCCUUUUUAUACAUAGUAAAAAAACAGUAACACCAACAACAUGCUUUUAAUACAUUUGAUGUACAAAUCUGAAAUCUUUAGACAUUCAGAUCUUUCUUUUUUUGGUCAGUUUUAUUAUAUUGCCGUUUUAUUUAUUUAUUUAUCUUAUUAUAUAGUCUUAUGAUAGUGGGCGGAUCUUGGGGUUUGUUGUAAAUAGUUAUACACAUACAAUGUUUAGUAAAUAUAGAAUUUAAAAAAUAUCCAAAAUUUGUAAUUCACAAUUUUUUUUGUCUUGCAGUUUCUUCACAUACAUCUCAUGCUCCUCCAUCUACACGCUCCACAACAUUUAAACCAACGGCUCUUUUAAGAGCCAUCACUUGCAAAAGCUCUCGUACUCGCUCUCCUACUCACUCACUCACUCUCCAACUCACUCUCCUACUAACUCACUCACUCUCCAACUCACUCACUCUUCUAUAGGGCUGUGCAAAAUAAUCGUCUGCGAUUCUCAUGCGUGUUUCAUCAGUAAAGCCGGUUCCGUGAUUAGAAGUAAAUCGCCAUCAGCUGCUUUCAGAUGGAGCGGCAUUUAUUACACAGACCCGUAGUUCACAGAGAACCCUACUCUCCUACGUAUACACACACACUCACUCACUCACUCUCUCUCACUCUCCCCCCUCUCUCUGUUUGUCCCUCUUUCAAUUUGUUUUGCCUAUUUCUCUUUGCAUUCUUUCUUUUCUUCAAUAUGGCAUCUUCAGGUUUUGACCAGUUAUGCCAGGAAGCUGCAACUAUUUCAAAGCAUCUUGACAUGAAAGCUGACAAUGCUGAACUUGAAGCAGCUACCAGGGAGGCUGAAGAAAUUCUACAAAUGUUCAAUCCUCCACUGCUGAAAAAGAUGACCAAACGAGCGAUUUCCUGGACUCAACAGACACAGUGAACUUUGCACUGCAUUUCAAAGCCAGCUCCUCAGCCGCAACACCGAGAACCAGAGUUGAGGUCAAUGUACUGCUGAGAAAAGUGCAAGAUCUGUUUAACCAAAAUUAUAGU